rnacentral:rRNA from 1 species
UACGAAGGGUGCAAGCGUUAAUCGGAAUUACUGGGCGUAAAGCGUGCGUAGGUGGUUUUUUAAGUCUGCUGUGAAAGCCCUGGGCUCAACCUGGGAAUGGCGGUGGAUACUGAAAAGCUAGAGUGCGGUAGAGGAGGGUGGAAUUCCCGGUGUAGCGGUGAAAUGCGUAGAGAUCGGGAGGAACAUCAGUGGCGAAGGCGGCUCACUGGCCCGGUACUGACGCUGAGGUGCGAAAGCGUGGGGAGCAAACAGG